UGACCUCGGAUCAGGUAGGACUACCCGCUGAACUUAAGCAUAUCAUAG
rnacentral:rRNA from 1 species